rnacentral:rRNA from 1 species
AGAGUUUGAUCAUGGCUCAGAACGUACGCUGGCGGCACGCCUAACACAUGCAAGUCGAACGAAGUAGCAAUACUUAGUGGCAGACGGGUGAGUAACAUGUAGGUAUCUGCCCUUUGGCCUGGAAUAACACGAGGAAACUUGUGCUAAUACCGGAUAAGUCUUUACGGAGAAAGCUUUAUGCACCAUUGGAUGAGCCUGCACUUGAUUAGUUUGUUGGUGGGGUAAUGNCCUACCAAGACUGUGAUCAAUAGCUGAUUUGAGAGGAUGAUCAGCCACAUUGGGNCUNAGACNCGGCCCAAACUCCUACGGGAGGCAGCAGUGGGGAAUCUNGCACAAUGGAGGAAACUCUGAU